CAUUUGUUUAUAAUGGCAACCAAUAUUUCAUCUGUAAAUGAAGAUACCAUUGAAGGUCCGGGUGCGACUGCCCUUGAUCUAAUCAUUGAGAGAAGAUUCGGAGGAGUUUUAAGAAAGGCUGGUGAUGAAAUGUUCUUAAGGAGUAUCCCGUUAAGAAUGAUGGCGGCUAUACUCCUGUCCAGGAUUAUACCUGAUCGCUGGUUUUGUUUCCUGUGGAGAAUGAUUGAAAAGAAAUCCGUAAUUUAAGAAUCAUCCAAUGGAUUCAUGCAAAGUUCCCCAUCAAGCUUAGCAACAAGAUACAGAACAUACCCUAACCCUAACCUUGAUCUUCAAGCUUGACUACACAGUUCAGAAGAUCUUCGAAGACUUUCAUUAAGAUUGACCAUAUAAAGAUAAGAUAAAAUAAAGAUUUUGUAUUCAGUAUG